UACGAAGGGGGCUAGCGUUGCUCGGAAUCACUGGGCGUAAAGCGCACGUAGGCGGAUUGCUAAGUCAGGGGUGAAAUCCUGGAGCUCAACUCCAGAACUGCCUUUGAUACUGGCGAUCUUGAGUCCGGGAGAGGUGAGUGGAACUGCGAGUGUAGAGGUGAAAUUCGUAGAUAUUCGGAAGAACACCAGUGGCGAAGGCGGCUCACUGGCCCGGUACUGACGCUCAUGUGCGAA
rnacentral:rRNA from 1 species